rnacentral:rRNA from 1 species
UACGUAGGGUGCAAGCGUUGUCCGGAAUUAUUGGGCGUAAAGAGCUCGUAGUCGGUUUGUUGCGUCGGCUGUGAAAUCCCGAGGCUCAACCUCGGGUCUGCAGUCGAUACGAGCAAACUAGAGUGUUGCAGGGGAGACUGGAAUUCCUGGUGUAGCGGUGAAAUGCGCAGAUAUCAGGAGGAACACCGGUGGCGAAGGCGGGUCUCUGGGCAACAACUGACGCUGAGGAGCGAAAGCGUGGGGAGCGAACAGG